rnacentral:rRNA from 1 species
GACGAACGCUGGCGGCGUGCUUAACACAUGCAAGUCGAACGGAAAGGCCCUGCUUUUGUGGGGUGCUCGAGUGGCGAACGGGUGAGUAACACGUGAGUCACCUGCCCUUGACUUUGGGAUAACUUCAGGAAACUGGGGCUAAUACCGGAUAGGAGCUCCUGCUGCAUGGUGGGGGUUGGAAAGUUUCGGCGGUUGGGGAUGGACUCGCGGCUUAUCAGCUUGUUGGUGGGGUAGUGGCUUACCAAGGCUUUGACGGGUAGCCGGCCCGAGAGGGUGACCGGCCACAUUGGGACUGAGAUACGGCCCAGACUCCUACGGGAGGCAGCAGUGGGGAAUAUUGCACAAUGGGCGGAAGCCUGAUGCAGCAACGCCGCGUGCGGGAUGACGGCCUUCGGGUUGUAAACCGCUUUCGCCUGUGACGAAGCGUGAGUGACGGUAAUGGGUAAAGAAGCACCGGCUAACUACGUG